rnacentral:rRNA from 1 species
GCAUGUCUAAGUACAGGCUUUGGUACAGCGAAACCGCGAAUGGCUCAUUAAAUCAGCUAUAAUUUAUUAGAUUGUUCUCUUACUUGGAUAACUGUGGGAAUUCUAGAGCUAAUACAUGGCCAAAAGCUCCGACCUUCGGGCAGGAGUGCAGUUAUUAGACCAAAACCAGAGCCUUCGGCUCGAACUGUUUGGUGACUCUGGAUAACGACGACCGGAUCGCAUGGCCUUGUGCCGGCGACAUAUCUUUCAAGUGUCUGACCUAUCAACUGACGAUGGUACGUUAUAUGCCUACCAUGGUGAUAACGGGUAACGGAGAAUAAGGGUUCGACUCCGGAGAGGGAGCCUGAGAAAUGGCUACCAACUCCAAGGAUGGCAGCAGGCGCGCAAAUUACCCACUCUCAGUACGAGGAGGUAGUGACGAAAAAUAACAAUGCGGGACUCUAUUGAGGCCUCGCAAUUGGAAUGAGCGCACUUUAAAUCGUUCGACGAGGAUCUAUUGGAGGGCAAGUCUGGUGCCAGCAGCCGCGUAAUUCCAGCUCCAAUAGCGUAUAUUAAAGUUGUUGCAGUUAAAAAGCUCGUAGUUGGAUCUGGGGAUUCGGGUCGGUGGUUUGCCGCUGCUACUGCCGUGCUCGACUCUUACUAGCCGGUGCGUCUCUUGGUGCUCUUCAUUGAGUGCCACAGAGCCUGGCAUGUUUACUUUGAAAAAAUUAGAGUGCUCAAAGCAGGCGCUUGAAUAGUGUUGCAUGGAAUAAUGGAAUAGGACCUGGUUCUAUUUUGUUGGUUUUCGGAACUUGAGGUAAUGAUUAAGAGGACGGUCGGGGGCAUUCGUAUUUCGGUGUUAGAGGUGAAAUUCUUGGAUCGCUGAAAGACGGACAAAUGCGAAAGCAUCUGCCAAGAACGUCUCCAUUAAUCAAGAACGAAAGUCAGAGGUUCGAAGACGAUCAGACACCGUCCUAGUUCUGACCAUAAACGAUGCCAACUAGCGAUCCCGGUGGUUGCUAUAAACGGACUCUGCGAGCAGCUUCCGGGAAACCAAAGUGUUUGGGUUCCGGGGGAAGUAUGGUUGCAAAGCUGAAACUUAAAGGAAUUGACGGAAGGGCACCACCAGGAGUCGAGCUGGCCUUAAUUUGACUCAACACGGGGAAACUCACCCGGUCCGACACCGUAAGGAUUGACAGAUCGAGAGCUCUUUCUUGAUUCGGUGGAUGGUGGUGCAUGGCCGUUCUUAGUUGGUGGAGUGAUUUGUCUGGUUAAUUCCGAUAACGAACGAGACUCUAGCCUGCUAACUAGUUGGCCGUGUUCAUUCGCGCUGUAGACUUCUUAGAGGGACAGAUGCGUUUAGCCAUCGAAAUUGAGCAAUAACAGGUCUGUGAUGCCCUUAGAUGUCCGGGGCACGCGCGCUACACUGAAGGAGUCAGCGUGUGCUAUCGUGCUCGGAAGAGCUCGGUAACCGUUGAAACUCCUCGUGCUUGGGAUUGUGGCUUGUAAUUAUCGCGCAUGAACGAGGAAUUCCCAGUAAGUGCAAGUCAUACGUUGCGCUAGCUACGUCCCUGCCCUUUGUACACACGCCCGUCGCUACUACCGAUUGAAUGGUUUAGCAAGGUACUCAGAUUGGUCUCGAUUCGCACGCAAGUGUGAGAUCGACGGUCGAGAA